rnacentral:rRNA from 1 species
AUGAACGCUAGCUACAGGCUUAACACAUGCAAGUCGAGGGGCAGCAUUUUAGUUUGCUUGCAAACUGAAGAUGGCGACCGGCGCACGGGUGAGUAACACGUAUCCAACCUGCCGAUAACUCCGGAAUAGCCUUUCGAAAGAAAGAUUAAUACCGGAUAGUAUACGAAUAUCGCAUGAUAUUUUUAUUAAAGAAUUUCGGUUAUCGAUGGGGAUGCGUUCCAUUAGUUUGUUGGCGGGGUAACGGCCCACCAAGACUACGAUGGAUAGGGGUUCUGAGAGGAAGGUCCCCCACAUUGGAACUGAGACACGGUCCAAACUCCUACGGGAGGCAGCAGUGAGGAAUAUUGGUCAAUGGGCGAGAGCCUGAACCAGCCAAGUAGCGUGAGGGAUGAAGGCUCUAUGGGUCGUAAACCUCUUUUAUAUGGGAAUAAAGUUUUCCACGUGUGGAAUUUUGUAUGUACCAUAUGAAUAAGGAUCGGCUAACUCCGUGCCAGCAGCCGCGGUAAUACGGAGGAUCCGAGCGUUAUCCGGAUUUAUUGGGUUUAAAGGGAGCGUAGGUGGAUUGUUAAGUCAGUUGUGAAAGUUUGCGGCUCAACCGUAAAAUUGCAGUUGAAACUGGCAGUCUUGAGUACAGUAGAGGUGGGCGGAAUUCGUGGUGUAGCGGUGAAAUGCUUAGAUAUCACGAAGAACUCCGAUUGCGAAGGCAGCUCACUAGACUGCAACUGACACUGAUGCUCGAAAGUGUGGGUAUCAAACAGGAUUAGAUACCCUGGUAGUCCACGCCGUAAACGAUGAAUACUAGGUGUUGGGAAGCAUUGCUUCUCGGUGCCGUCGCAAACGCAGUAAGUAUUCCACCUGGGGAGUACGCCGGCAACGGUGAAACUCAAAGGAAUUGACGGGGGCCCGCACAAGCGGAGGAACAUGUGGUUUAAUUCGAUGAUACGCGAGGAACCUUACCCGGGCUUAAAUUGCAAAUGAAUAAUCUGGAAACAGGUUAGCCGCAAGGCAUUUGUGAAGGUGCUGCAUGGUUGUCGUCAGCUCGUGCCGUGAGGUGUCGGCUUAAGUGCCAUAACGAGCGCAACCCUUAUCUUUAGUUACUAACAGGUCAUGCUGAGGACUCUAGAGAGACUGCCGUCGUAAGAUGUGAGGAAGGUGGGGAUGACGUCAAAUCAGCACGGCCCUUACGUCCGGGGCUACACACGUGUUACAAUGGGGGGUACAGAAGGCAGCUACCUGGCGACAGGAUGCUAAUCCCAAAAACCUCUCUCAGUUCGGAUCGAAGUCUGCAACCCGACUUCGUGAAGCUGGAUUCGCUAGUAAUCGCGCAUCAGCCAUGGCGCGGUGAAUACGUUCCCGGGCCUUGUACACACCGCCCGUCAAGCCAUGAAAGCCGGGGGUACCUGAAGUACGUAACCGCAAGGAGCGUCCUAGGGUAAAACUGGUAAUUGGGGCU